AUACGGAGGGUGCAAGCGUUGCUCGGAAUCACUGGGCGUAAAGCGGACGCAGGCGGUCCAGCAAGUCGGGUGUGAAAGCCCGGGGCUCAACCCCGGAAAUGCAUUCGAAACUGCUGGACUUGAGUACGGGAGAGGGGAGCGGAAUUCCUGGUGUAGAGGUGAAAUUCGUAGAUAUUCGGAAGAACACCAGUGGCGAAGGCGACUUACUGGACCAUUACUGACGCUGAGGCUCGAAAGCGUGGGGAGC
rnacentral:rRNA from 1 species